rnacentral:rRNA from 1 species
CCUACGGGAGGCAGCAGUGGGGGAUAUUGCACAAUGGGGGAAACCCUGAUGCAGCGACGCCGCGUGAGUGAAGAAGUAUUUCGGUAUGUAAAGCUCUAUCAGCAGGGAAGAAAAUGACAGUACCUGACCAAGAAGCCCCGGCUAACUACGUGCCAGCAGCCGCGGUAUUACGUAGGGGGCAAGCGUUAUCCGGAUGUAUUGGGGUUAAGGGGUGCGCAGGCGGCCUGUUAAGGCAGCGGUAAAAGCCCGGGGCAAAACCCCGGCGAGCCGUUGAAACUGGCGGGCUGGAGUUGGAGAGAAGUACGCGGAAUGCGCGGUGUAGCGGUGAAAUGCUUAGAUAUCGCGCAGAACCCCGAUUGCGAAGGCAGCGUACCGGCUCCACACUGACGCUGAGGCACGAAAGCGUGGGUAUCGAACAGGAUUAGAUACCCGUGUAGUC